CUGAUCUGAAGAACUCCGUCUGAACAAGCACCAGCAUCACAUCAUCUGUGACCUCAGGUACUCAAGUUUAAGAAAACUAUUCAGAGAGAUUGUCUGGACUCCCGUGACGUCAUGGAUUUCUUCAAAGCGGUGGGGGCGGUGGCGUCGGGCGUUGCCGAGGUAACGGGGGGCGUGGUCAGAGCCGUGG